rnacentral:rRNA from 1 species
GACGAACGCUGGCGGCGUGCCUAAUACAUGCAAGUCGAACGCAGUGGGGACGGGUGAGUAACACGUGGGUAACCUCCCAUCAGAGGGGAUAACACUUGGAAACAGGUGCUAAACCGAUACUGAUGGAUGGACCCGCGGUGCAUUAGCUAGUUGGUGAGGUAAUGGCUCACCUAGGCGACGAUCCCUAGCUGGUCUGAGAGGAUGAUCAGCCACACUGGGACUGAGACACGGCCCAGACUCCUACGGGAGGCAGCAGUUGGGAAUAUUGCACAAUGGGCGCAAGCCUGAUGCAGCCAUGCCGCGUGUAUGAAGAAGGCCCUAGGGUUGUAAAGUACUUUUGGCAGAGAAGCGGUAUCUGCAGAAUAAGCACCGGCUAACUACGUGCCAGCCGCCGCGGUAAUAC